GCAAUUCUCCUGCCUCAGCCUCCCGAGUAGCUGGAACUACAGAUGAAGAAACCAAGGCUCGGCCCUUGGAGCCCAGUUCAUAUUGGAGCAAGUGAGAGCACUGAGCCUGUGCUCUUAACCGCAGGGCUCGACUGGCACAGGUGGACGUCCAGGCCAAGGAUGACAGGCCUUCUGGAACCAGGAGAGGAUCUUCAGUAACCACUGCUCAGGUAAGACUCUGAACUCUGUGUGGAGGACGCUGCCCAGUUCCACUGCUGGAAUGAUUCGAGGAGCCUCAUUCACAAGCACAAUGACUUUCCCCACGGCGGCCCUUCUGAAAGGAGCGGCCCUGCGCCUGCUGCUGGAAGCAGAAGCCUCCCUUCAGGGCAUGGCACAGGCCGGUCCACCCCAUCCCCAGAGUUGAGGGAGAAUCUGCCAGUCCAGGGAGUGCUGGGGAAUGAGGCGCGCAGCCAAGAGUUGACCUGCUUCCACUGGAAGCAAUGGAAAUCCUGCCCAAGUCCACGUCCAAAGGCAGAGCCAUGGCCAGUUCCACCCCAGGCGGGUGGACUUCUCGGGGCAGCAUCCUAUUGGCAGAAACAGUAGGCCCUUCUGAGCUCCAUGCUUUUUUUUUUUUUUUGAGACAGAGUUUUGCUCUUGU